rnacentral:rRNA from 1 species
UGGAAGGGCCAUCGCUCAACGGAUAAAAGGUACUCUGGGGAUAACAGGCUGAUACCGCCCAAGAGUUCAUAUCGACGGCGGUGUUUGGCACCUCGAUGUCGGCUCAUCUCAUCCUGGGGCUGAAGCAGGUCCCAAGGGUAUGGCUGUUCGCCAUUUAAAGAGGUACGCGAGCUGGGUUUAGAACGUCGUGAGACAGUUCGGUCCCUAUCUACCGUGGGCGCUGGAAAUUUGAGAGGAUCUGCUCCUAGUACGAGAGGACCAGAGUGGACGAACCUCUGGUGUACCGGUUGUGACGCCAGUCGCAUCGCCGGGUAGCUAUGUUCGGAAGGGAUAACCGCUGAAAGCAUCUAAGCGGGAAGCCUACCUCAAGAUAAGAUUUCCCUAGGACUUUAUGUCCUCUAAAGAGCCGUUCGAGACUAGGACGUUGAUAGGUUGGAUGUGGAAGCAUAGUGAUAUGUGAAGCUGACCAAUACUAAUUGCUCGUGAGGCUUGACUAUACAACACCCAAGCAGUUG